UACGGCGAGUGAAGCGGCAAGAGCUCAAAUUUGAAAGCUGGCUCCUUCGGGGUCCGCAUUGUAAUUUGCAGAGGAUGCUUCGGGUGCGGCCCCUGUCUAAGUGCCCUGGAACGGGCCGUCAGAGAGGGUGAGAAUCCCGUCUGGGAUGGGGUGUCCGCGCCCGUGUGAAGCUCCUUCGACGAGUCGAGUUGUUUGGGAAUGCAGCUCUAAAUGGGUGGUAAAUUUCAUCUAAAGCUAAAUACUGGCCGGAGACCGAUAGCGCACAAGUAGAGUGAUCGAAAGAUGAAAAGCACUUUGAAAAGAGAGUUAAAAAGCACGUGAAAUUGUUGAAAGGGAAGCGCUUGCGACCAGACUCGCCUCCAGGGUUCAGCCGGCAUUCGUGCCGGUGUACUUCCCUGGGGGCGGGCCAGCGUCGGUUUGGGCGGCCGGUCAAAGGCUCCCGGAAUGUAGUGCCCUCCGGGGCACCUUAUAGCCGGGAGUGCAAUGCGGCCAGCCUGGACCGAGGAACGCGCUUCGGCACGGACGCUGGCAUAAUGGUCGUAAACGACCCGUCUUGAAACCAACG
rnacentral:rRNA from 1 species